GCUCCAAAGAAGGGGUGCUUCCUCGUGUAACCUGUAUGGAGAAAGCAGAGUGCUGUCAGGCGGAAGGACCAGGGAACGACAGGCAGCCUCCAGUUGUUUUGUUUUGGAAGGAAACAGAUGAAGACCCACCUUCUAGCUUGUCAAAGCCCAGGACAAUGUCUGCAAAUUGCUUGGCCCUGUCUCUGGUCUCCAGUGCGGCGAUUAUGCACCCGAGGGACAGGAUUUCCACUCUGACGCUGUCUGACUGCAGCACAAACUUCUCCACCUCCCCUCCUCCAUCCUCCUGGGGCAUGUGCCCGAAAAUCUCUCUCUUCACCUCCGUCAUCUCUCCCCAAGCCCCGUCCUUGCGUCGCUGCUGGGAAGGAAGUCCAGGAGGAAGCGAAGGCAGCCGAGAGUGGAGCAAAGGGGGUUAUGGAGAGCAGAGUCCUAAAAAUCACAUGAUAGCCUCCAGCGUGGCAGAGCUGGGAGGAGUCACAGCGUGCAGUUGCUGCCUGGCAGGCUUGGGUGCAUGCUGAGGGGAAAACGAGCUUUUGGAGGUGCAUGCCCCUGGCCUAAGCUCCAUUACACGCUGCUUCCAAUUGCCCUGGGGAAGCAACCUCAGCGUGCAGGAGAAACCCAAGCAUAUGAAAAUAAUCUGUGUAUACAUUUU